rnacentral:rRNA from 1 species
UGUGUGACUGCGUACCUUUUGUAUAAUGGGUCAGCGACUUAUAUUCUGUAGCAAGGUUAACCGAAUAGGGGAGCCGAAGGGAAACCGAGUCUUAACUGGGCGUUAAGUUGCAGGGUAUAGACCCGAAACCCGGUGAUCUAGCCAUGGGCAGGUUGAAGGUUGGGUAACACUAACUGGAGGACCGAACCGACUAAUGUUGAAAAAUUAGCGGAUGACUUGUGGCUGGGGGUGAAAGGCCAAUCAAACCGGGAGAUAGCUGGUUCUCCCCGAAAGCUAUUUAGGUAGCGCCUCGUGAAUUCAUCUCCGGGGGUAGAGCACUGUUUCGGCAAGGGGGUCAUCCCGACUUACCAACCCGAUGCAAACUGCGAAUACCGGAGAAUGUUAUCACGGGAGACACACGGCGGGUGCUAACGUCCGUCGUGAAGAGGGAAACAACCCAGACCGCCAGCUAAGGUCCCAAAGUCAUGGUUAAGUGGGAAACGAUGUGGGAAGGCCCAGACAGCCAGGAUGUUGGCUUAGAAGCAGCCAUCAUUUAAAGAAAGCGUAAUAGCUCACUGGUCGAGUCGGCCUGCGCGGAAGAUGUAACGGGGCUAAACCAUGCACCGAAGCUGCGGCAGCGACACUGUGUGUUGUUGGGUAGGGGAGCGU